AGCGAACGCUGGCGGCAGGCCUAACACAUGCAAGUCGAACGAACCUUUCGGGGUUAGUGGCGGACGGGUGAGUAACACGUGGGAACGUGCCUUUAGGUUCGGAAUAACUCAGGGAAACUUGUGCUAAUACCGAAUGUGUCCUUCGGGGGAAAGAUUUAUCGCCUUUAGAGCGGCCCGCGUCUGAUUAGCUAGUUGGUUGAGGUAAUGGCUCACCAAGGCGACGAUCAGUAGCUGGUCUGAGAGGAUGAUCAGCCACAUUGGGACUGAGACACGGCCCAGACUCCUACGGGAGGCAGCAGUGGGGAAUCUUGCGCAAUGGGCGAAAGCCUGACGCAGCCAUGCCGCGUGAAUGAUGAAGGUCUUAGGAUUGUAAAAUUCUUUCACCGGGGACGAUAAUGACGGUACCCGGAGAAGAAGCCCCGGCUAACUUCGUG
rnacentral:rRNA from 1 species